GACAUAGGUUGCGAACGUUAUCCGGAAUUAUUGGGCGUAAAGAGCUCGUAGGCGGUUUGUCGCGUCUGCCGUGAAAGUCCGGGGCUCAACUCCGGAUCUGCGGUGGGUACGGGCAGACUAGAGUGAUGUAGGGGAGACUGGAAUUCCUGGUGUAGCGGUGAAAUGCGCAGAUAUCAGGAGGAACACCGAUGGCGAAGGCAGGUCUCUGGGCAUUAACUGACGCUGAGGAGCGAAAGCAUGGGGAGCGAACAGG
rnacentral:rRNA from 1 species